UACGUAGGGGGCAAGCGUUGUCCGGAUUUAUUGGGCGUAAAGAGCGUGUAGGCGGCCCGAUUAGUCCGCUGUGAAAGUCCAGGGCUCAACCCUGGAAUGCCGGUGGAUACUGUCGGGCUAGAGUCCGGAAGGGGCGAGUGGAAUUCCUGGUGUAGCGGUGAAAUGCGCAGAUAUCAGGAGGAACACCAAUGGCGAAGGCAGCUCGCUGGGACGUGACUGACGCUGAGACGCGAAAGC
rnacentral:rRNA from 1 species